GACGAACGCUGGCGGCGUGCUUAACACAUGCAAGUCGAACGGAAAGGCCCUGCUUUUGUGGGGUGCUCGAGUGGCGAACGGGUGAGUAAAACGUGAGUAACCUGUCCUUGACUUUGGGAUAACUUCAGGAAACUGGGGCUAAUACCGGGUAGGAGCUCCUGCUGCGUGGUGGGGGUUGGAAAGUUUCGGCGGUUGGGGAUGGACUCGCGGCUUAUCCGCUUGUUGGUGGGGUAGUGGCUUACCAAGGCUUUGAAGGGUAGCCGGCCUGAGAGGGGGACCGGCCACAUUGGGACUGAGGUACGGACCAGACUCCUACGGGAGGCAGCAGUGGGGAAUAUUGCGCAAUGGGCGGAAGCCUGAUGCAGCAACGCCGCGUGCGGGAUGACGGCCUUCGGGUUGUAAACCGCUUUCGCCUGUGACGAAGCGUGAGUGACGGUAAUGGGUAAAGAAGCACCGGCUAACUACGUG
rnacentral:rRNA from 1 species